rnacentral:rRNA from 1 species
GACGAACCGUGCGAACGUUAUUCGGAAUCACUGGGCUUAAAGCGCGUGUAGGCGGGACGGCACGUCGGUCGCUGAAAUCCCCCGGCUUAACCGGGGAACGGGCGGCGAUACGACCGUCCUGGAGGGGCGUAGGGGGACCUGGAACUUCCGGUGGAGCGGUGAAAUGCGUAGAUAUCGAGAGGAACACCGGUGGCGAAGGCGAGUCCCUGGUCCACUUCUGACGCUGAGGCGCGAAAGCGUGGGGAGCAAACAGG